rnacentral:rRNA from 1 species
UGGGGAAUAUUGCACAAGGGCGAAAGCCUGAUGCAGCCAUGCCGCGUGUGUGAAGAAGGCCUUCGGGUUGUAAAGCACUUUCAGUUGUGAGGAAAGGGAUGUAGUUAAUAGCUGCAUUCUGUGACGUUAACAACAGAAGAAGCACCGGCUAACUUCGUGCCAGCAGCCGCGGUA